CAGCAUCAGACCGUACCCUAAACCGACACAGGUGAUUGGUAGAGUAUACCUAGGCGCUUGAGAGAACUGUCUUGAAGGAACUAGGCAAAUUACUCGCGUAACUUCGGGAUAAGCGAGCCUCUGUAAUGGGCAACCAUCUCAGAGGGGCACAAACCAGGGGGUAGCGACUGUUUAUCAAAAACACAGGGCUCUGCGAAGUGGCAACACGACGUAUAGGGCCUGACGCCUGCCCGGUGCCGGAAGGUUAAGAGGAGAAGUGCAAGCUUCGAAUCGAAGCCCCGGUAAACGGCGGCCGUAACAAUAACGGUCCUAAGGUAGCGAAAUUCCUUGUCGGGUAAGUUCCGACCUGCACGAAUGGCGUAACGACUUCCCCGGUGUCUCCAAGACAGACUCAGCGAAAUUGAAUUCUCCGUGAAGAUGCGGAGUACCCGCGGCCAGACGGAAAGACCCCGUGCACCUUUACUAUAGUUUUGCACUGGUACUAGGCAUUGGAUGUGUAGGAUAGGUCGGAGGCUUUGAAGCUCGGGCGCUAGCUCGGGUGGAGCCAACGUUGAAAUACGACCCUUUUGGUGACUGGUAUCUAACCGCAGCCCGUAAUCCGGGUUCGGGACAUUGCAUGAUGGGUAGUUUGACUGGGGCGGUCGCCUCCGAAAGAGUAACGGAGGCGCGCGAUGGUGGGCUCAGGCCGGUCGGAAAUCGGCUGAUGAGUGCAAGAGCAAAAGCCCGCCUGACUGCGAGACCGACGGGUCGAGCAGAGACGAAAGUCGGUUCUAGUGAUCCGGUGGUUCUAAGUGGAAGGGCCAUCGCUCAACGGAUAAAAGGUACGCCGGGGAUAACAGGCUGAUACCCCCCAAGAGUCCACAUCGACGGGGGUGUUUGGCACCUCGAUGUCGACUCAUCACAUCCUGGGGCUGGAGCAGGUCCCAAGGGUUUGGCUGUUCGCCAAUUAAAGUGGUACGUGAGUUGGGUUCAGAACGUCGUGAGACAGUUCGGUCCCUAUCUACCGUGGGUGUUGGAAGCUUGAGAGGAUUUGCCCCUAGUACGAGAGGACCGGGGUGAACGUACCUCUGGUGUACCAGUUGUUCCGCCAGGAGCAUCGCUGGGUAGCUAUGUACGGACGGGAUAACCGCUGAAUGCAUCUAAGCGGGAAACCCACCUCAAAACCAGGCUUCCCUGAGAACCGUGAUAGACCAUCACGUUGAUAGGCCGGGUGUGGAAGCGCCGCGAGGCGUGCAGCUAACCGGUACUAAUUGUUC
rnacentral:rRNA from 1 species